rnacentral:lncRNA from 1 species
UAGAAAACCCUAGCCGUCAUCUAUCCUCUCUUCUCUCUUCCAUCUUCUAGCAAGAAAGACGUCCUUUUGCAAGGGAGCUAGCACCCCGGUGAGGACAUCGAUCAAAUCAAGAACCUCGUGUGGAUACCUAUAGAGGCCGGACGCGUGUGCGGCUUCAAGAGAACCCGAUUCCACGAUCAUCAAAUUGAGGCAAGGAUUUAUCCGCGAAAAAGGUAAUGAUUCGAUCUUACUUUUCUCCUUUAAUCUUAAAGAACAUGAGGGAUCCUAAUUGCGUGGUUUUUGAGAUUAGAUCUCGAGAGUUUUCAAAAAUCAAAUUUGUUUGAUUUCUUUUUCCGCUGCGUUUUUACCGUACGCAAUUUUCUAACAGUGGUAUCAGAGCCAUCCUCAUGUUUUUAAGAUUAAAAUUAUGAUUUUGGGUAUUCUAAACCGUUUUUCGCCGAUCGAACGAUUUAUAGAUCGUUGUUUGGAUGAUUCGUAAAAUCAAAUUGAUCGAACAAUUUAAUCCACGGUUUCUCGUUUUCAAAAACAAAAACAACAAAAAAUAAAAAAAAAUAAAAAAAAUAAAAAUACUGUAGCACCGUACGGAUGCACUGUAGCAGUCCGUACGGAUUUUACUGUAGCAGUCCGUACGGACGCUACUGUAGCAUCCGUACGGAAAUCAAAAAAAUUUUUUUUUUUCUAACCCAAAAGAAAAGGAUCUAAUUUGAUUAGAUCAAAUUUAAAUUUUGAUGAGAUCAAAUUGUUUUUGAAGAUUAAAUUUUUGAUCAAAAUUAUAAAGAUCAAUAAGAUUGAUUGUUAUUAGUGAUUAAGUCACUAUUAUUUUUCGAAUCAUCUUUUAACGGUUAAUUAGAAUAUCCAAAUUUAUUAUUAUAUGUGUGAUGUAUGAGAUACAUAUCGGUGAUGAUCAUGGAUAGCGACCUAUUUAUAUUUCGACAUGUGAUGUAUGAUGUGUAUGCAGAAUCCUGUAAUUUUAAAUUUGUUUAAAUUAAGGACUUUGUAUUAGAGAUGGCUAUAUUUGUGCCUGCGUGCACAAGCCGAUUUAUUUGGAGAUCUGCGUGUCUCAAUAGGUUAGAGAUAAAAGUUAUCAAAUGUAAUUAAUUUUUUUUUAUUUCACUUUUAUUAUUGGGUUGUAUAAUGUAUGGUUGCACGUCACUGGUUGAUCGGUUGCAAGCCUAAAAGUUCGCAAGGCCCGGAUAGAGAUGAAUACUUGAUGGCGGUCGGAUCAAGCUGUUGAUAAGGAUCAAAUCAAGUUGAAGCUCCAGAUCGGAUCAAGAAGUUGAAGACGAUCAAACCAAUGACGUGUGUGUGCUUGUAAUUUAUGACCCUAAGACCCCGAUUCCGACUCAGUGGCUCGAGUCCGAAUCCACUUCUAAGAUCCAUGAUCAUCACCAGUUUAAUUAUGUUUGUUUGCGCGGAUUGAUUUUUUAUUUUAUUUGCAUUAGAUGUAAAUAAAUAAAAUAUUUUUUGAGACCUAAAUAAAUCUCCUCAUAAAUAUUAAGUCGAGCGGUCUUCCGCCGUUGUAGAAGUGCGGGCGCUUUUCUGGUGUUGAUUGGCACGGCUGGUUACAGUGGUCAGUUGCAUCGGGAAUUCGCAACCACUCUAUUAGCAUGAGAUGCUGCGGAGUAAAGAUGGGGUUGGGCCCAAUAACUGUCAGGUGAGGGACCCAAUGACGGCUUUGCUUACGCGUUUGAACGGUGGGUCUGACUUAACUAAGGAAUGGGGCCAAUAACUGUCAGGUGAGGCCUACAGGACUUAGAGACCGAUCACUGCAAUUUGCUUGAGAAGCAUUGGACAAGAGUUGUCCACUCAUCGGUUUGCAUAUCACCAAUAACUGUUAGGUGAGGUGGUACGUUAAAUUGGUGGGACCGCAGUACCCACUUGAAACCUUUUGUCGCGUUGGGUUUCCGUUUCUCUACCCGAGGAGUGUAAGAGACUCGAGAAAAUAGUGGGAGGCUAAAUUUGUUUUUAAAAUCCCUAAAACAAUUUUUCAAAACAAAUACAAAUAUCUAACUUGAAUCUUUACUCUCUGCAAAGUAAAUGUCUGCUUCCAAUUAUCUCUCUCGUAUUCUCGACACAAAAUCCUUAACUGAAAUUAAUUAUAAAGACUGGCUAAGGAAUUUAAAAAUAGUUUUAAAUUCCAAUAAGCUCUGCAUUGUUCUCGACCAGGUAAACCUCACGUUGCCAAACCGUCCAAUAACUAACAGAAGGGCAGUCCGUUCAUGAUCAUUGUUUGACAAUGAUCAUAGACCUCGAGGAGCUUGAGAAGCUUGGCGUAAAAUGGAUAAGGAAUUGCAAGUUGAUCUGAUCCUGCAAUCCCUUCCUGUAUCAUAUGGACAGUUUAUUGUAAACUACCAUAUGAAUAAAAUUGACUGCACCAAUGCAGAGUUAUUGAACAUGUUGGUAAUAAUAGAGGGGACUUUUGAAAAGUUCAAAGGGAACGGUUCACGUUGUGGAGCGAGCUUCCUCUUCUAAAAGAAAGUCUAAUUGGAAGAAGAAACCCGCGAAGAAACAAAAGACGGAAAACAAGCCCAAGAAGGAAGCUCCUAAGAAAAGGGCCGCUAAUAAAGGAAAAUGUUUCCACUGCAAUGUUGACGGUCAUUGUGAGAGGAACUGUCCUUUCUACCUGGAGAGCCUAAAGAAUAAGAGGAAGGACACACCUUCGGAAGGUAUGUCAGACUUGCUCGUAAUAGAAACUAACGGUUUCCUCUACUUCCAGAAAGAGAAAGUAGAGGGCUUAGGGAAGGUGAAGUGACCCUACGGGUAGGCAACGGGGCAAGAGUUGCUACUGUGGCUGCUGGCACCUAUCCUUUGCGACUACCGUCAGGAUAUGUUUUAUUACUUAAAGACUGCAAUUAUGUACCUCCUGCUAGCAGAAAUUUGAUUUCUGCACAGGAUGGUUUAAUUUUGACAAAAACUACUGCAUAAUUUAUUUUAGAAAUAAAAUUAUUGGCCGUGGUUUUAUAAUUGACAGUCUUUAUCAUUUACAUAUGGAUGUAUCUACAAAUAUUUCUGAGCAAGUAGUGACUGCUGUUGGGUCUAAGAGACCUAGAGAUGAGAUGAACCUAAAGUAUAUGUGGCACCUCAGGCUUGGUCAUAUUGAAGAAGAAAGGAUCAAUAAAUUGGAUAAAGAUGGGCUUCUCGGCCCAUUGACUUCAGAGUCUUAUCCAGUUUGUGAAUCUUGUCUUCAAGGAAAAUUGACUAAAUUACCCUUUGUAGGACAAGGGGAAAGGGCCACUGAGAUACUUUCCUUGAUACACACUGAUGUGUGUGGGCCAUUUGAUGUGCAUGCUAGGGGAGGUUAUCUCUACUUCAUAACAUUUACCGAUGAUUAUUCACGGUAUGGGUAUGUGUAUCUUGUAAAACACAAGUCUGAGAAUUUUGAAAAGUUCAAAGAAUUCAGAUAUGAAGUAGAAAAACAAACUGAAAAAUCCAUCAAGGUUCUUCGAUCAGAUCGAGGAGGAGAAUACCUUAGUGGAGAGUUCCUAAAUUAUCUCAAAGAAAACGGCAUAGUCUCACAGUGGACUCCUCCGGGAACACCUCAACUCAACGGGGUGUCAGAACGGAGAAACCGAACCUUAUUGGAUAUGGUUCGAUCUAUGAUGAGCUUCACUGAUCUUCCUUUAUUUCUUUGGGGACAUGCUUUGCUUACCGCAGCUUAUUUGUUAAAUAGGGUUCCCUCUAAAUCCGUUCCUACCACGCCGUAUGAGAUGUGGCAUGGUAAGAAACCAAGUCUUGGUCAUAUCAAGAUUUGGGGAUGUCCGGCCUAUGUUAAGCGACUACAGGUGGACAAGUUAGAGGCUAGGUCUGAGAGGGCUCGUUUUAUUGGAUAUCCUAAAGAAACUUUAGGUUACUAUUUUUAUAUCCCAGAGAAUCACAAUAUAGUUGUGAGCAAACAUGCUAUUUUCUUGGAAAAACAGUUUAUUCAAGAAGCUAGUGGGAGAAAAAUUGAGCUCGAAGAGAGAGUCUCUGAAGAGCAACGAGUCAUCAAACCUACAGAACCUAUUCAAGCUGAGCCAGUACAUGUAGUACCUCCUCCACCUCGUAGGUCGAGUAGAAUCUCCCAUCCCACUAAAAGAUACUUAGGUAUCGUUACAGAGGAAGUAGAGGAAAUGUUCCUCAUGGGAGAUAGGGAACAUGGAGAUGAUCCCAAAACCUACAACGAGGCGAUGUCUGACAUCGAUUCCGAGAAAUGGCUGGAUGCCAUGAAGUCAGAAAUUGACUCAAUGCAUUCCAACCAGGUUUGGAUUUUGGUAGACCCACCAGAAGGUAUAGUACCUAUCGGGUGUAAAUGGAUCUACAAAAGAAAGAUAGGUUCGGAUGGAAAGGUAGAGACCUAUAAAGCAAGGCUGGUUGCAAAAGGUUAUAGUCAACGCGAAGGCAUUGACUAUCAGGAGACCUUUUCACCUGUGGCCAUGCUUAAAUCCAUUCGAACACUGCUUGCCCUUGCAGCAUACUAUGAUUAUGAGAUCUGGCAAAUGGAUGUGAAAACUGCCUUCCUAAAUGGAUAUCUUGAGGAAGAUAUCUAUAUGGAACAACCUUUGGGUUUCACUUCCGAUGACGAAAAUCACAAAGUAUGCAAGUUGCAACGGUCCAUUUACGGACUUAAGCAAGCAUCUCGGACUUGGAAUACUCGUUUCGAUAACGUGAUUAAAUCGUUUGAUUUCGUUAAGAAUGAGGAGGAACCAUGUGUUUAUAAGAAGGUCAGUGGGAGAGCUGUCACAUUCCUCGUAUUGUACGUGGAUGACAUUCUCCUAAUUGGGAAUGACAUUCCAAUGCUGACUUCAGUUAAAAUAUGGUUGUCUAAAGAAUUCUCCAUGAAAGAUUUAGGGGAAGCAUCCUAUUUUUUGGGGAUAAAGGUCUAUAGAGAUAAAUCUAAAAGGAUGUUAGGCUUCUCACAGAAAAUGUAUAUAGAAGAGGUGCUGAAGAGGUUCGGCAUGAAAACUCCUCUUAGACAUGGAAUUUAUCUCUUUAAGAAAAUGUACCCCAAUACAUUUGAAAAGAUUCAAUGUAUGAGUAAGAUCCCUUAUGCCUCAGCUAUAGGGAGUCUUAUAUACGCCAUGCUGUGUACACGAUCUGAUAUCGGGAUUGUUGUGAGUGUCACAAGAAGAUAUCAAUCUAAUCCAGGCGAUGAGCACUGGAUUGCUGUGAAGAACAUACUCAAGUACUUGAGAAGCACUAAGGAUAUGUUCUUGAUCUUUGGAGAAAAAGAGUUGAAAAUAUAAGGAUAUACUGAUUCAGACUUUAUGUCUGAUGUUGACGAUAGAAAGUCUACGUCAGGAUGUGUGUUCUUAUGCGAUAGUGGCUUGGUGUAUUGGAAGAGUUCCAAACAACCACCCUACCAUGGAAACAGAGUAUAUCGCCGCAUUUAAUGUAGGCCUUCUGAAGUUUGUCGCAGAAUUAAGUGUGAUGCCAUCGAAUGUCAUACCACUCUAUUGCGACAACAAUGGCGCCAUAGCCUUAGCUAAGGAGCCCAGGUCACAUCAGAAGUCCAAGCAUAUAAAGCGGCGGUUUCAUAUUAUACGCAACUACCUCGACAGAAAUACAUCGAGAUGUAGAGAGUAGACUCCACAGAUAACGUGGCAGGCCCAUUGACUAAACCACCUAGCCAGCAGAAGACUGAAGUCCACCUUGAGAAGAUGGGGCUUAGGUAUAUGGCUGAUUGGCUUUAGUGCAAGUGGGAGAUUGUUAGAUGUAUGCCCUAGAAGCCAACCAGGCCGACACAUAUAUUCUUUCUAGGACAUAAAUUUGUAUUUGACUUUUAAAUAUUAUGAAUAAAUUUGGGUUAUUAUUUCCAUUCAUGAUGUGUAUGUGUCCAUGAAUCGUCCAAGGAAUUAAUAAGAUGAUAUAUAUUCUCAAGAGUUGAGAAUUUGAGACAUGUGUCAUUGGUGGUUAAUUCCUAAAUGCUCCCGAUCAAUGGAUCAUCACGGGGACGGUGAUUGAUCCGGUGAGAUUGGUGCAUAGGUCGCUUCCCUUUUGGGUAGACGAGUCUCGAGUCGACAGUGUGGGGACACUGAAGCGAAUAUGCAGGUGGUUGUUAGAGAACAAGGGUACCGAGCGUGACCAACGCGAGAAGUCACUUGGAUGUCUACUCACUCGUCAGUGACUUACUCAAUUGUUGCAGUAGUGUGACUGGUCCUUUGACCUGCGGUGCCUCGGCUAUUCACAAUGAGGUUACUGUAGUUUGACUGUACAUACACUUGGUCCCUAGCCAUUCGGGUCCUUGCGGUGCAUGUUGGCUGCAGUAGGUUCAUUGUAGGAAUAGGGUGCGCACUUAGAUGGAAUCUAUCUCCCUUGGUAGAUAGGGGUGUUAGUCCUAUGUGAUUUAUGAGACCGAGUUUAGAAGACCUUGGCCAGGGCAGAAUAAAUAGCGGAAAAGGGUUUCCGAUAUUAGAAACUCGAGUCGAAUAAAUUUAACAUAUGACAGACGAUGGGGUUUGACGAGUUAUUCCAUAACCUCCGUCUAGUCGGGACUCAUGAUAGAAGGAUUGUAUCACACGGUAACUGCACCAAGAGGUUCAGUAUUCCAUUCUACUGGAAUGCCACUACAUGCUGCUAGGCGUCACUGGUGGAUUGUGAGACUCAUGAGAAUUAUCUAGAUGAUCGAUAAUUCUCAUUGGGCUGAGUUGGAAUUGUUCUAAUCCAUUGAAAGGAGUUUCAGUGAUAUUGUUGAUAGUGAUCAAAAUAUAUCUCACUACCAGAUAGAAUAGAACCUAUGGGGUCACACACAUAAGAGGUUGUGAUUGAUCGGAUAGCUAGAUCGCGAUUAUUGAAUCGCCGGAGGACCUAAUUGUCAAUAUGUUGAUAAUUGGACUAAUUUGUAAUUGUUACAAAUUAGUGGUAUUAAAGUGUAAAUGUUACUAGAGAGGACUUACUAAUAGUUAGUAAAUUAUAAGAGGACUUAUGUGCAAAUGUUGCAUUAUUAAUUUGAUAAGAUCAAAUUAAUAUAAAAUUCAAGUCGAAUCAAAUUAGGAUUUGAUCGAUCUAACCAAUUAAGGAAAAGAUAAAUUUAAAUCUAGAUUUAUACUUAUCCUUAAUUGUCAUUAUAUUAUUAGGAAUAGGAUUAUAUUCCUAUAUAUAAUAUACGGGAGUUUUUAGAAAACCCUAGCCGUCAUCUAUCCUCUCUUCUCUCUUCCAUCUUCUAGCAAGAAAGACGUCCUUUUGCAAGGGAGCUAGCACCCCGGUGAGGACAUCGAUCAAAUCAAGAACCUCGUGUGGAUACCUAUAGAGGCCGGACGCGUGUGCGGCUUCAAGAGAACCCGAUUCUACGAUCAUCAAAUUGAGGUGAAGAUCUAUCCACGAAAAAGGUAAAGAUUCGAUCUUGUUUUCUCCUUUAAUCUUAAAGAACAUGAGGGAUCCUAAUUGCGUGGUUUUUGAGAUUUGAUCUCGAGAGUUUUCAAAAAUCAAAUUUGUUUGAUUUCUUUUUCCGCUGCGUUUUUACCGUACGCAAUUUUCUAACAACAACAUCGCGGCGUUUCGACGCGCAGUAGAGGAGAGGAGCCUGUGUCUCGACGUCGCCGUGCCCUAGUGAAGAAGGAGGGUCGCGACGCGGCCUCAGC